rnacentral:lncRNA from 1 species
GGGGCAUGCUUCCGAUUUGUCUGACGUGUUAAAUAAAUUGUCCCUAACUAGAUCAGAUAAGAAUAAAACGCCUCCCCUCCCAAAUCUGUAGCAUGCUCUAAGUUCUGUGUCGGUGUAGUCUAGAAUUUGCAUCUAAAUGUUCUUUCUUUUCCUUGAACUUGUACAUGAAACAUGCAGGCGGUCAUCUUUAACACUGCAUUAAGGAUUUAACCGAGUUAUUUGAAGUGAUUAAGUUUAACACAGAUUGAACAACUGCGUUAAAGGUGAAAAAUUUUGAACAACACUUAACGAUUAUGUUAGAUUUUACGACUGGCUAACGACA